AGCAAGUUUUGGCGAGGUGUUUGGCCUUGGGCUGGGGGUUGAGCACUUAGUUUGGUGCUGAAUGUAGAUCUGGGUGCAGUAGCAGAGGUAAGUGUGGAGAAUUCACGUGGAGAAGCCAGAUGCUGAGUAAUGUGCUCAGAAUAAUAACGCGAUUAUUAUUAUCAGGCGUGAGCAGGGAUGGCCGUGUCCGUUUGACUCCCGGCAAGGCAACUGGCCUUACAGAUUCUACUUGAUGAUUGCUGGUAUAUGGGAAAUUAUUUAAUUUUAAAUGUAUGUGUGGCCAAUUGCCUUGGGGGUUGAAGAUUAAAGAGAAACACAUCCUGCCUUGCAGGCCCUGUUGGGAGAAAGGAGGACACAGCUGGCUGUAACAUGUAUCUGUACUUAGUGAGGGCUGGAAAAGGUGCAGUGCUGGGAAGGAAACAUGAAUUGAUCCCACAGAUCUGACUGGAAAGAUCUUGAAGCAUUUCAUUAUAGGAGAAGGUAUUGGAGCUGGAUCUUGGAGGCUCGGGAUAAUUCCACAGUUAAAGAUGGAGAUAAAGAGAAAUCCAGAACAAGGGAACAGAGUGAGCAGAAAUAUCACAGGCAUUAAAAACAUGGGGUGUAUCCAAAGAUUGCGAAUUGGCCCAGCUUGCUACAACUGGAACACCGGUGUUGAAUGGACAGGAAAUUGGAAAGAUUUUUCUCCACGCAUUUAUUUGGAGCCCAUGAGUGUCAUUACAUGUGAGAUGAUCUUCUGAAGACAGCAGACGAUUGGGUCUUGCUUUUUUAUCCAGCUUGCCACUCCGUACCCUUUAAGUGGGGCAUUUAGCCCAUUUACAUUUAAGGUGAGUACUAAUAUGUGUGGAUUUGAUCCUGUCAUUGUGCUGUUAGCUGGUUACUAUGUUGGCUUGUGUGUAUGGUUGCUUUACAGUGACCUGGUCUGUGUGUUUAAGUGUGUUUUUGUAUAAGCUGGUAGCAAUUUUUCCUUUCUAUAUUUAGUGCUCCUUUCAAGAUCUCUUGUAAGGUAGGCCUA